AUGGCAGAAUAGUGCCUUGGAUUUAAGCCCCAAUUAUAAAGUUUAAACUUUUU
rnacentral:tRNA from 1 species